UUGGGGCAGGAAAAAUAAAUUGUUGUUAUCCUGAUUAUGUGAAUCAAGGACAGUGGAACUAUACUUGGCCUUUUGUUAUGAUGGAGGGACUCGCCAUCAAUUAAGUAGCACUCGCUAGGCAAGGGACCUGGGUUCCAAAACUCAAGUGAAUUGGGAGAGAGGUUGGGGAUAGGUAGUAAUAGCUGAUGGUAUGGGCCCCCUGGUGAGGGCCCUACAUGCUAAUUAUACUGCCUUGUCUCUCCACUGUGGAACGUCAGAGCUAAUUUUGAUUCCAUUAGGAGUCUAGUUACAGGCUGUUGAGCUGAAGUCACUUUGGGCCAAUGGUGCACCAGCACUGAGGCUCCCCUACUACAAGCUAAAAUCACUGAUGAGCUGCACUGACUAA